GACGAACGCUGGCGGCGUGCUUAACACAUGCAAGUCGAACGGAAAGGCCCUGCUUUUGUGGGGUGCUCGAGUGGCGAACGGGUGAGUAACACGUGAGUAACCUGUCCUUGACUUUGGGAUAACUUCAGGAAACUGGGGCUCAUACCGGAUAGGAGCUCCUGCUGCAUGGUGGGGGUUGGAAAGUUUCGGCGGUUGGGGAUGGACUCGCGGCUUAUCAGCUUGUUGGUGGGGUAGUGGCUUACCAAGGCUUUGACGGGUAGCCGGCCUGAGAGGGUGACCGGCCACAUUGGGACUGAGAUACGGCCCAGACUCCUACGGGAGGCAGCAGUGGGGAAUAUUGCACAAUGGGCGGAAGCCUGAUGCAGCAACGCCGCGUGCGGGAUGACGGCCUUCGGGUUGUAAACCGAUUUCGCCUGUGACGAAGCGUGAGUGACGGUAAUGGGUAAAGAAGCACCGGCUAACUACGUG
rnacentral:rRNA from 1 species